GAGUGUGUGUGUGUGUGUGUGUGUGAACACUGAAAAACUUUAGGUGCGUUAUAAACUUAGAGUCUAGUGCCAAGGCUCAUUAAGAUGAAUUGCAUGGUUUCCAGUAAAGGCAAGGCAGCCACUGGCACAUGGAAAGGCAUGAAGCAAAUAGAACAGAAUCAGAAUCUGAAAUAGUUUCUAUUGUGUAUAAUAAUUUUGUAUGUUAUAAAGACGGAAUUUCAAAAUGCAUUGCAUCAAACUUUGAAGUAAC
rnacentral:lncRNA from 1 species